rnacentral:lncRNA from 1 species
AAAAAAACAAAAAAUAAAAAAACCCUACAGUCCAACCAUCCUGAGAUCUGUGUCCUCACAGAACGGAAGGAAGACAGCAGGGUACUUUGGCAAGGAGUUGGUAGAGCCGGCGACAUGGCAGGUGUGAGGGGGUGGAGGACAGAUCUCUGAGAGAACUUGGUCUUCUGAGAGCCUCUGGUGCAGAUGGAUGAGGAGGUGUGGCUGCUUCUUCCCCGCCCCCAUGCCCUCCCCCUCAGGAGCAGGAGAGGUAAACCAUGAGGAUUGAUGCAUGUUGCCACCAGACCAACUUAAAGGGCUGGUUAGGUGACAAGCAGUCUCUGACUCUACAGUCACUGGUCACUCAGGCUGGGUCAUGGCCGGCUACCUACCUGUAAACCAGCCAGGGGCUCCUGAGGCCACCUCCUCCACUCGGCCUGCAUAUAUUUGUGGGCAGCAAUGUCACUGGGACACAGCCCAGAACGGGGUGGGGGGUGGGGUCAGUCAGGGCACCCUUCACACGGUGGCUUCUAUCUGAAAUUAUUUGGCUGUUCAACCCAUGCAGAUCUGCAUGUGUGACAAGAAAUAAAAAUACCCAAUAGCCGGAGCUGCUUCCCUGGUCUCCUUCUGCAGGAAGCAUGAGUUUUUGUGUGCUGUGGGGCUCUGUGCCAGCACAGCCUCACAGCACAUGGGGCCCGAGUACAGCUGGUCUUGGAGCUCGGCGACUUGGAUACAGGAGUAUAUAGUCUCCCUCAGUAGCAUCUCCACCUUUUGUCACUAACUGAAGCUGUUUGGAUCUGAGUGUUCUGUGCUCCCAAUUGCUGCUGCCCUAAUGUCCUGGCUCAGGGCACGUUUCAAGCGACUCAUUUUUCUUUGCCAACAUCACCCAAGCCAGUGGCUCUGUUCUCACAUCCGUCUCUACUCAGCACAUCUACCCUUUGCCCUGCUGCCCUUGUCAUCUUCUCCAUCUAUGAGCAUAGCUGAAGGAAGAAACAGUGGCCGUAGAAAGUUCUAGCAAGCUGAGGGGCAACAAAUCGCGAUGCUAGUGGAAGAGUAAAACGGUAGCGAUGUGGAAAGUUUUGGUGGCUUCUUUAAAAAAUUAAACAUGUGACUCCAGCCAGGGAAGCCUUGUCCACCAUCAUCAGAGGAGUCGCCUCCAGCAGCAGAUGCAAACGGAGACCCACAACCAGACACUAUGCAGAGAGCGAGGGACCUUGGGACACCCCGACCUCAGUGUGCUGCCUCCAUCAAAUCCCUCCCUGCACGGCUCAGGGAUCCCUGUGGAAGGGGAGGCAGAAAGAGUGUUAGAGACAGAGGGCUGGAGGACACCAGGAAGACGAAGCCCUCUAAAUCAACAUGACCAAAGCUCACGUGAACUCACAGAGACCCAGGCGGCAUGGCUUGCGCAGGGCCUGCCCGGUUUUGUGCCAGGGCGGAGCUCGUAUAUUAUGGCUUCCGGUUUCGUGCUUUGUGCCAUACCCGAGCAUGCAAGCAAGCGAGUCUCUGUUCUUGUGCCUCCUCUUGGGCUCUUCCUUCUGUUUGUUUUGUCCAAUUAAUGUGGUUUUGUUUUUACCUUACUUUAUUAUGAUCCCUUAGAAGUCCGUUUGUUUUCUAAUGAGAGACAGAAAGGUAGUGGAUUCGAACGGGAAGGGAGGGGGAGGAGCUGGGGGAGUAGAGAGAAGGAAAACCAUGAUCAAGAUAUGUGAGAAAAAAUAUUUCCAGUUUAAAAAUUCAUUAGAGUGUGAAUAUAAGGAUAAAUAAACCAAAAAAAUAAUGCACAAUAAUGGUAGGACCCAUAACUAGAGUCUUGAGGAUUUAUGCACAGCACGCAUGCGUGUCUCCAGUAGCCCUUCUCACCAGGCCAAUGUGGAAAGCACCCAGAUGUCCCUCGGGAGACUAUUAAGAGCACUUAGAGGGCAGAUGCAUCACAGGUUCAGCAAAGCCCCUUUCCGUGGGGGAAGAGAUGGGACGCUCUGAGGCUGGGAAAAUCCUAACUUGAAGUUGACGCCCGCUUCUGCAAUAACUCUCUAAACGCGCAUUCGACACUUCUGAGCCGGGUGCAAGGAUUUAAACGACGAGGGAUUGUGGGGUUUUAAUUCUUCACUUUAUCAGUCACUUUAUCUUCACUUUAUCAGCUGCUAACUCUCAUUGCUUCCUUUGGUUUCUGAAGAAUUUGGCCUGCUGUUGGACAGGAUUUAAUGGCUGGCAUACCUCACCACACUGCUGCAGCUACCUGGAUGGGUAGACUAAAGAUUAGAAGUGUUAGAAGCUCUGCGGGUUUAAAUAUGCUUGGCCCAGGGAAUGGCACUAUUAGGAAGUGUGGCCUUGUUGGAGGAAGUGUGUCACUGUGGAAGUGAGCUUUGAGACCCUUCCCCUAGUUGCCUGGGAGCCAGUAUUCGGCUAGCGGCCUUCAGAUGAAGAUGGAGAACUCUCAGCUCCUUCUGCACCAUGCCUGUCUGGGCGCUGCUAUGCUCCGCCUUGAUGAUAAUGGACUGAACUUCCAAACCUGUAAGCCAGCCCUAAUUAAAUUUUGUCCUUAUGAGAGUUGCCUUCGUCAUGGUGUCUGUUCACAGCGGUAAACAGAAGUCUUGCUGGAAAUCCGUGCAAAAGCUGAGGUACACUGGUAAACAGAUUACAGUGCUGCAGUGACCUGGUGCACAUGGUGUCCACUAGGUGGCGCUCACGACUAAAAUUUUAUCGCUCCCCGCUCUUCUAAAAUGGAAUAACACCUCUUCACUGGAAAUAUGUUUUUGCAACUAGUACGAUUAUUUAGCUACCUAUUGAGAAUAUCCCUUAAAAUGGAAUCAAUGACAAUUAUGACCAGCAAUUCAUAAAAAAUUCAAAACCAGGCAUGGCUGCACAUAUCUGUAAUCUCAGCAUUUAGAGGAUAUGACCAGAGAACUGUAGCAAGGUCCUGGCCAGCUCAACUACAUAAGGAGGCAGCCUGGAAAACCACCACCACCACCACCACCACAACAACAACGACAACAAAACCCCACGAAAUCUGGCCAUGGUGGCACAUGGCUGUAGUCUCAUUAUUUGGGAGGCAGAGAGAGGGGCUCUCUGUGAGUUCCAGGCCAGCCAGAGCAACCUAGCAAGAAGCAAUGACCAAGCCCGCUCAGUCAGUCAACAGGUUCUCCAGCUCAGGAGUGAGGAUUGAAAAGAAAAAAGUAGACAAUUCCAAGACAAUUAAAAGGCAAAUUUAACUUUCCCAAUCCGCUUUUUUGUACCAUUUAAAUUACCUGCAAGUAUUCAGGGCGAGCAGUACAAUAAGGAACUAGCAAGGCAGUAAGUGAAGUCCCAUGAAUAGUCCUGUGACAGUUGUUUAAAAGGGCUUGUCAGAACAACCAAAAUACUUGAGCCCACUUCGUUGUCCAAGCCCCAAAUCUUGCCUGAAGCCUACUUCUCUAUUACAGCCCAGUCAGAUUCCUGCCUGAGCUUACGUCCUUGUCAUGGCCAGUGUCAGAUUCCUGCCAGAGCAUUUCCUUGUCCUUGGCCAAUGCCAGCACCCCAAAGGGCUCUCCACAAAGCAAUUUCAAAACGACAACGGUUGGAGAGAGGGAUCCAUGAUUAAGGACCUAGCUGCUCUUCCAGACCCAGGUUCAAUCCCACCACUCACAGGCUGGCUAACAACCAUCCGUAACUCCAGUUCCAAUGUGGCCUUCUGGCCUCUGAGGGCACCAGGCAUGAGUGUGGUUUGUAUGCAUACAUGCAGGCAGGCACUCAGAGAGAGCUCCUCCACACAGAAUAGAAGAGAGCAAAAGAUGGGCUUGAGCAGGCAGGGAGGGGGCUCUAAUGAGAAAUGGGUUUUCAUGUCAAUUGUAGACCCAACUACAUGGAAAUCCAAAAUGCCAUGGGUUGGCACCCAGCUCCUCUAACAGCCAGCACGGGAGCCUUGGAUGUCCCCAGGGAGUCCUGGGCCUGUGGCCUCAGUUAUUGUUCUGUCCUCCUCACUAAGAAUUGGCUUCUGUCUGCAGACUGGUAGAAGGCGGAUCCGGGUCUACCGACCCCCACCCCCACCCCCAGCCCUCCUGCAUUACCACGCCCUGGGCAGCCAGGUCUGCUGUGGUCUGUCACACAGCCCCCAAUGACGCAGGAGCCUCAGCCAGACCUCUACAGCAACGGCCUUCAACCUUCCUAAUGCUAUGACCCUUUGACACAGUUCAUGCUGUGGUGACCCCCAAAUAUUAAAUUAUUUUCGUUGCAACUAUUAUGAAUCAUAAUGUACAUAUCUGAUAUGCAGGAUAUCUGUGAAAGGGGGUUUCCCCACCACUCCCAAGGGGGUUGCAGCUCACAGGUCGGGGACCAUUGCUCCAGAAGCAGCAGCGUGCUCUCUCCUAGCCCCCACCCUGCAGUCACCCUCCCUCUUACCCCAUGCUCCUCAGGCCUGCCUGUUUGCUCAUUCUGUUCCGCCUGGGGUUAUAUUAGAAGAUGUCAGGAUGGGAGCUGCUUUCAAUGCCAGAGAGGAGGUGAACCACGACCCAACACUGAGCCAGAAAGGAGAACAGAGACUGCAACCUUCCCUCCCAUCCUGUCCUUCCAGAGUCUGCCCUGCCUGGGCAUCCCCUACUUUAUUGAUUCUUGCUGGGAAGGUCAUAAGCUCAAAAGCUCUAAACUCACAGGCACAAAAGGCAGAGUGUGGUGUUCCCCCACCCCCACCCCCAUGACCCACUAAGUUUAAUUCUGGUUUCUUGCAUGAGCAUGGGGGCGGGGUGGGAUUGUUUACUGGAACAGAGAUGACGUGCUUAUCAGAGGCUGCAGCACGGAGGAGACACACGUCUCCCCUGCAACCCAUUUCUGCUAACAAUGCCUUGGGAGUGGGCCGGGCCUCGUGAGUCCCUCUCUCGUCAGGGAUGAAGUGUUGAUGAGCCCUGUCUUGGACAAACGAUAACAGCUUCGGUGACUUCACAGGUGUGUGCAGCCAUGUCUUGACUAGGAGACACCGUUUUGUGGCAGCCUCCCCAUCCUCCGGCUCUGAAGUCAUCUCGACCUUCCCUUCACAGUGUCCCCCUGAGCCUUGGAUGCAGGUGAUAUGGAUGCCCCCAUUUAAGCGCAGCCCUCGACGGUCACUUAUCCUCAGUGUUAUCGGGUGUUUCCAGGGUCUUGGCGUCUUACCCAGAGAACUGCAAACCCACAGAUCUGCACAGAAGCAAGAAGACUCAUUUGAAGCAGUGAUCACGAAGAUACAGAAGGGUUCCCUGGCAAACUCGACAACGACCGCACGAGUGAGGAUACUCAAGGGCCACAAUUGUUGCUGGAAGUUGCUUUUAUGGGGUUCAAGAGAAGGAGCAGCUGGUGACUAAGGGGUGCAGUUAUGGUAGUUCUCAAAGUUGGCUGUAUGUCUCUCCCCAUGAUGCACCUGGUCUUAAUCAAAUGCGCAUCCGAUUCUGUAUAGGAGUAAGGUUUCCUGAAGAUACAGCUUUACCUCAAUGCUCAUAUACCUAAAACUAGCUCAGGCCAGAUCGGCCUUCCUGUUCUUCAUGGCCGGUGCAUUGGGAAUAUGCUUGAAUGGAAACUAUGAAUCUGAUUGUAACUGGGGUGGGGAAGCUCGCACCACUGUUCAAAAAUGAGAAUCUGUGUCGCUCGGGGCUGAGAGGAAGCCAAGGGGUUCCUAGAAGAACCAGAUGCGUUGUCUGAAGAGGAAUGUGGGCACUAGUUUAUUUUCUGUUGCCCUUGUAAACACUAAAACCAGAAGCAAUGUGAAGAAAAAUAGGGGCGGGGGGCGGGGUGGUAUCUCAUCUAACUACACCCAGGUUCCUCACCAAGAGAAGUCAAGGCAGGACCUGCAGGGAGAAGCUGUGGAGGAGAGCUGCUUCCAGGUUGCUCCCCUGUCUUCCUCAGUGUUCUAUUGCUGUGGAGAGACACCAUUAUCACGGCAACUCUUACAAAAGAAAGCAUUUCUCUGGUGCUGGCUUCCAGUUUCAGAGGUUUAGUCCAUAAUCAUCAUGACAGGGAGCAGGGUGGCACUCUGGCACGCUGGCACGAUAGAGGCAGAAAUAACGCUAGAGAAGUAGCUGAGAGUUCUACAGCUGGAUCUGCAGGCAGCCAGUUACAACAGGUAACAGUUGAGCCACUAGGUCUGGCUCCCCCCCACCCCCCCUGUGACACACUUCCUCCAACAAGGCCACACUUCCUUGGCCUUCUCAAGUAUUACUACUCCCCUAAGACUAAGUUAUUCGAAUAUAUGAGCCUUAAUGGGGGCCGUUCUGAUCCAAACCAACACAAUCCCUAUAGCUUUCUCACCUCUCUUAUGCAAGCCAGGACCACAUUCCUAAAUUGGGCUGAGCCCUCCUAUACCAGUCACCAAGAAAAUGUCCCACCAGGUAUGCCCGUGGGCUAGUCUGACGGAGGCAACUUCUAACUGUUGUUUCUUUUCAGGUGUCUCUAGUUUGUGUGAAGUUGACAAAGACGAGCAACAUGGACUAUGCCUAGCAGGACACACCUUUAAUGCCUGCAGAGGCAGGAGAAUAUCUAUUAUUUCGAGGAGGGCCGUCUGGUCUACAUAGCAGGAUCUGUUAUGUUGCUCUAGCUGUCCUGGAACUCCAUAUACCAACCAGGCUGGCCCUGAAGUACCAGAAAUCCUCCUGCCUCUGCUUCCCGAGUGCUGGGACCAAAAGUGUGAGCUGCCACCGUACCCAGCUUUAAUAAAUUCUCUCCUUUCUCCCUCCCUCCCUCUCUCUCUCUCCCUCUCUUUCCCUCCCUCCCUCCCUCCCUCCCUCUUUCCCUCCCUCUCUCUCUCCCUCUCUCCCUCUCUUUCUCUCUCCCUCUCUCUCUCUCUCAUCCCAUUAAUUUUAUUCCUCUAAGAGAACCCUGACUUAUGCUGCUAAAG